AGUCGAACGAAGUAGCAAUACUUAGUGGCAGACGGGUGAGUAACAUGUAGGUAUCUGCCCUAUGGCCUGGAAUAACACGAGGAAACUUGUGCUAAUACCGGAUAAGUCUUUACAGAGAAAGCUUUAUGCACCAUUGGAUGAGCCUGCACUUGAUUAGUUUGUUGGUGGGGUAAUGGCCUACCAAGACUGUGAUCAAUUGCUGAUUUGAGAGGAUGAUCAGCCACAUUGGGACUGAGACACGGCCCAAACUCCUACGGGAGGCAGCAGUGGGGAAUCUUGCACAAUGGAGGAAACUCUGAUGCAGCGAUGCCGCGUGAGUGAAGAAGGCCUUUGGGUUGUAAAGCUCUUUCGUCGGGGAAGAAAAUGACUGUACCCGAAUAAGAAGGUCCGGCUAACUUCGUGCCAGCAGCCGCGGUAAUACGAAGGGACCUAGCGUAGUUCGGAAUUACUGGGCUUAAAGAGUUCGUAGGUUGUUGAAAAAGUUGGUGGUGAAAUCCCAGAGCUUAACUCUGGAACUGCCAUCAAAACUUUUCAGCUAGAGUAUGAUAGAGGAAAGCAGAAUUUCUAGUGUAGAGGUGAAAUUCGUAGAUAUUAGAAAGAAUACCAAUUGCGAAGGCAGCUUUCUGGAUCAUUACUGACACUGAGGAACGAAAGCAUGGGUAGCGAAGAGGAUUAGAUACCCUCGUAGUCCAUGCCGUAAACGAUGUGUGUUAGACGUUGGAAAUUUAUUUUCAGUGUCGCAGCGAAAGCGAUAAACACACCGCCUGGGGAGUACGACCGCAAGGUUAAAACUCAAAUGAAUUGACGGGGACCCGCACAAGUAGUGGAGCAUGUGGUUUAAUUCGAAGAUACGCGCAGAACCUUACCAACACUUGACAUGUUCGUCGCGACUUUAAGAGAUUAAAGUUUUCGGUUCGGCCGGACGAAACACAGGUGCUGCAUGGCUGUCGUCAGCUCGUGUCGUUGAGAUGUUGGGUUAAGUCCCGCAACGAGCG
rnacentral:rRNA from 1 species